UUCCACUUUCCCCCUACUCCUGAAUGUCUAAAGAACUCUCAAUGCAUAUUAGCCAUCACCAUGGUUGAGACCCAGACCUCUGCAGAGACAAUCUUGAUCCUCUGGCUCCUGCUUCACAUUGCCCAUUCACCCUCAGCACUGAAAUCCUUACCUCAAGCGCUGGGAAUUCAGGCCAUGGAAGAUUAGGAGGCUCACAGCAGUGGAAUGCUGCUCCAAGAAGAAUUCUGAUUACAUUUUUCCAUGUCGUUGUUAUGGAAGCUGUAUCUAUAUAAAGUGGGAAGAUGCCAAUAAGGGUCCUUGCUCCUUGAGUGAGCAAGUUAUCCUUCAAGAUUCAGGACAAAUGUCACUUCCUCAGUGAAGCCUUCUCUCCCUCCUUGGUGUCUCCAUAAUACUCUGCUUAGACUUCACAUAUAUCAUGUGUUUUCCUACUAGAUUCUGAACUCCCCGAGAGCGGCAACCCAUAUCUUAACUCUCUUUGCAUCAACAGAGCCCAAUACAAUGCCUGGCACAGAGUAAGCCUCAAAUAUGUCUAUGAUAUAAAUUUUCUAAUAAAA
rnacentral:lncRNA from 10 species